rnacentral:lncRNA from 1 species
CCUAAUAGUCUCUAGCUCAGCUAUACGCUCGUCCCGAAGCUUCUGAAAUCGGUCCUAUAAUGUAUUCUGUAUACGUAUGUUAAUUAUAUCAUUUUAUUUACGAUUGAAUAUUAUUAAAAGCUAAAUAGUAAGAUGAGUUUUACCCGUAUAGCUAAAGAUGCCUGAGACAAAGAACGCUCGUCGUUAGGCGUGUGGGCUCGAUCCCAAAACUCUAGCAUGGUAGGAUCUCAGCCCAAGGUCCUCCCCAAUGCCUAAUACAAACAUUCAUAAAAUAGGUCUUAAGUAUUUGUGUGAGAACUUGACACAUAAAUUACUAAAUACAACGCACUUACCGUCUUCGCCUCCUCGAACGACUGAGAACCAGUGGUAUGUACUAUCCGGAGCUGACCACGGUUCUUCUUCGCCUGCUCGGACUUUUUCUUGAAGUCAUCAGCCUCCCAGUACGCACACAUAGCCUCCCAGGCUAAAUCGGAGACUAUGCGGGGCUGAUGAUCUCUGAUGGUGGUCCCGGGCUAGUCCACAACUGCCCAGGCUGCCUUCUGUCGCAUCUUAUACAGCCAUCCAGAGUAAUUCGCAGCGACGUGAUGCUCAAUCAUAGCAUCGCCAGCUAACUGAGAGAUGCUCGGGUCAAAUCGAUAAUAAACCUAUAACAAAAGAUUAUUUAAAAUUAAGAACAAUUGAUUUCGUCAUCCCAAUACAACUAUGUGGUGAUAAUAUGCUUAACUUACGUGGAACUCCCGCAAGACGGUCUACAUAAAAGUGGCAUCGUACC